CUUUUCGGCCGCGGCGCGUGACUGGGCUUGGUGGAGUUUCAAGAUGCUGAUGAACUUAAGGUCUGGCGCUUGAAAGAAUCAGUGAAGCUUUUCAAGUAGAGGAGUACUCUACUUUGAAGAAAGGAAUGGAACAGAAGGUGUCUGCAUAACUAAAUGGGGAUCUAGAGAAAGUGGAGACUGCCUCUGGAGCAGGGAGGUUCUAGAUGAAUGACUGAUGAAGACACAACAGCACGGUGGUGAGGCCAUUGAAUGCUUCUAAGACUGCACUUGGCAACAUCACAAGCUGCAGAAUCCCGUGCCACAUAUGACCUGCUGUUCACCGGUUCUUGCCAGGAUCACACCUGAGAAGAGGAAGAUAAUGGAGAUGGAAGACUUGGGAUGCUCAGGGUCCUGCUAGCCUUCAAACUGCAGGACUCUGAGCAUCCCAAGUCUUACCAUGAGUUGCUAAAAGAGAACCAGACCCAUGUUUAUCCCUUUGAAAGAAACCUGAACCAAGCCAUUCCUCUGGACUGUUCUUCCAUCCACUGGACCAAUAACUCAUAGUUUGAAGGAUUUUUACUUAAUGGAAGUGAGAAAACAGCCAGAUCAAAAGAAUUUCCAGGAGCCAAGACAGAAAACAUGCAGAGCAUUAGACAGCCUAAAUGGAGCUGGCUAGAUAUGACUCCAGUUGUGACCAAGCCAUAGUGCCCCCUAAGCUGGGUGAAGAGAACGGUGCCCAUCAGGCCAGAGAGAGCUGAAAGGGCCGUGAGGAUGCUAAGCAGGGAGUCUCCAACCCCCUGGGUACAGGCAUAGCCAGUGAUGAUGCCGCCAGACCCCAGAACUGUCAUGUAGAGGAAGACCAAGCACAAGCCAGCUAAGAAGACCAUCUGCCUGCAGUAGGCUUCCCAUCCCUCAUGGCACAUGCAGAGCAGCCUUUGCAUGUUUUAAAGGUGAAAAGGAGGCCGGGCGCAGUGGCUCAUGCCUAUAAUCCCAGCACUUUGGGAGGCCGAGGCAGACGGAUCACGAGGUCAGGAGAUCGAGGCCAUCCUGGCUAACACGGUGAAACCCCGUCUCUACUAAAAAUACAAAACAUCAGCCGGGCAUGGUGGUGGGCGCCUGUAUUCCCAGCUACUCGAGAGGCUGAGGCGGGACAAUGGCGUGAAUCCGGGAGGCGGAGCUUGCAGUGAGUCGAGAUCGCGCCACUGCACUCCAGCCUGGGUGACAGAGCGAGACUCUGUCUCAAAAAAAAAAAAAAAAAAAAAAGGUGAAAAGGAAAACCUGUGUUUGUGGUCUGUUCUUCAAGGUUAAACUUGUGGUCCUUUGGCUUUUCCAAAGGCCUAGGCUUGUAGACGAAUCCAUCAUUAAUUUCCCAACAGUCCAUUUCACCCAAAACAAAAUCCAAACAAGCUUU
rnacentral:lncRNA from 1 species